AUGUCAAAACAAAACAAAACAAAACAAAACAAAAAAAUAGACAACUGGAAACUGAUGGAUUCGAAGAGUGAUCUGAAAAAUCUAUUUGAUGCCCAAACCCACGAUGGUUUUUUACACUCUACAAACUUUAUUAAGAAAGGUGCUGAUUACGUUUUUAGAUACAGUCUCAACAUACUCCCUGCACUGUCUUUGUUCCGCACAGGAUUCGGGAGUGUAACCAGGAAUGUAAUUAGGAAUGCAAUGCGGAGGAAGGGCAAGGCCUGUCCCUUUCUUCUUCAGCUGCUGUGUGGUGCCAGGUUACGAAGCCAUGUCCAUAGAAAAUAGGCCAAGAAUUCCAGAGGCAACCUCCUGCCCACACUCUGGGGUGGAGAUGGCCUUUCCCUAAUGCUCCUGUCACUCAUCCGUGCCGGCACCUUUGGUUUUCACUGUAGGAUCCUCAGACUCCUCAAGGUCCUUCACCUCCAGGAAAAGGUAAGACUCUCAAGAGAUGUUUGUCAGCUUUGGGACAGUUGCAGUUCAGACCCCCUUGCAAGCUCUAGAAAACCCAACUGAAACAUCCCUGAAUGUAAACACUCUAUUUUCCCCCACGGAGCAUCCCAGAGGCAAGUCUGGCUUCAAGUGAGAUUCAUCCAGGCCUUAAACAACACAGCCAUGAAGCAGUUUCUAUUUCUUAAUUCUGCAUCCUCGGCGUUGCCCCGAUUCUCUAGCAAGCCCUCCAUUGUGGUCUCAAGAGCCUGGCUGGAUCUCCUGGCCAACUCAAUGUCUCAUUUACUUCCAGUAGGAAAACACUGCCUUUCUAGAAGGUCAACCAGAGUGUUAGAGCUGAGUCCUGCAGGUCUGCAUGGAUCUGACUUGGACUGUGUGUCUGUUCUGG
rnacentral:lncRNA from 1 species